UAUUCUCUUUCUUCUUCUCCUCCUUCUAUUCUCUUCUGUUUCUGAUGCUUUCGAGAGAUGAAAGUGAGAUUUUAUGUGAGGGAAAUCAAUUAUGUAAGUUCGUUAAAUGAAGAAGGGGAUUAUUGUUUUGUGAAUCUUAAAGGAUAAGAUGGUACUGAUAAAGAAUCGAAAUCAGUUUUCAGUAAUCAGAGGAAAUGGAUGGCACGAAGAUAUUUGUUCCGCAGUUUAGAGCUUUAUCGAAUCUAGUGUUGAUGUGUAUCUUUUAUUACAUAUAAGUAUUCUUUCUUUAUUCUGUAAACAACACAGUAAUAUAUUCUUAACAUUUGAAAGACUUUCAUUUAUAUGAUAUCA